AAAGAAAGGAAUGAAGUAUUGAUACACACAGCAAAUAUAAAAUACAUUCAGCUAAGUGAAAGAAGCCAGAAUCAAAAUUCUGCUAUAUUCCAUAAUUCUAUUUUUAUGACAUUCUAGAAAAGAUAAAACUAAAAAAAUGAUUAAGUCAGUGUUUGUAAGUGUAUUGGGGGUAAUAGAAUGGUUGAUGGCAAAGGGGCUACACAAGGGAACUGUUGGGAGUAAUGGAAUUGUUAUGUAACCUAAUUGUCUUGAUAGCAACACAACUCUGUUCAUUUGUCAAACUCACAGACUUCUGCACCAAAAAGAGAGCAUUUUACUGUAUGUAAGUUGUUUUUAAAGUAAACCAAACAACAUAUUCCCUCUCUCCAGCUCCUUAAGAGAAGGACACAUUUUUUUUUGGUUCAUGGACUAGGACUGAUCCUUAGGAUAAUAAUGACUUAGUAAAUACUUAUUUAGUGAAUGAAUGAGUUAUUAAAUAAAUGUUAAAUGUUAAUAUGAAUUUUUAUCCUGCUAACUUCUAUCUCGUAAAAAACUACCAGUUAUGCAUAAUCUAACCAAGAUUUCUAAAACAGACAGUUACCUUCAGCCCAUAAGCAAUGCUACAGAUUUUGAAUAAAAGAAAUGUCACUCUUGGUAUCUAUCUCAAAGUCGCUAGGAGAAUUUUCCAUUGCUACUAAAAUGCUAACUCUCAAGUUUUAUCUUGGAUAUCAGUUUCAAGCUAUGUAGUCUUGAGUGCGUUACUUAAUCUGUGUGUGUGUGUGUGUAUGUGCGUGUGUGUGUGUGUUUUAAUUUCUUAAUCUAACAAAUGUUAAUGAUAUUACUUCCCUCAGUGGAUUACUGUGAGAAAUAAAUAAAUAAAUGUAUGUGAGGAAGUUAGAACAAGGCCUGGCACAUAGGUACUUGAUAAAAUUCAGCUAAUGUUAGCCUGUUUGGCAGUGUAGAACAUAUGCCAUUCAUGUUUUAUCCCAUUCUCUUGACAUAGAAAGGUAAAAAUCUGUCUUCCUCAUUUUAUUUACUACACAAUUACAAUAUUUAUAGACCAUUGUGGACAGAUUUUUAAAGAAAUUAGAAAUGCUAAUCUUUACUGCUCACUUUUUAACCUAAUUCUAAUAUAGUAUUUGGAAAGAGAACAACCUCUAUAAAUCAGAAUUUCUUUAUUUAAAAAAAACGAUUGCUUGCUUUGACAGCACAUAUACUAAAAUUGGAAUGAUACAAAAAAUACUAGCAUGACCCCUGCGUAAGAAUGACAUGGAAAUUCCUGAAGAAUUCCAUAUU